AGAGUUUGAUCAUGGCUCAGAACGAACGCUGGCGGCAGGCUUAACACAUGCAAGUCGAACGCAUCCUUCGGGGUGAGUGGCAGACGGGUGAGUAACGCGUGGGAGCGUGCCCUUCAGUUCGGAAUAACCCAGGGAAACUUGGGCUAAUACUGGAUACGUGCGAGAGCAGAAAGAUUUAUCGCUGAAGGAUCGGCCCGCGUCUGAUUAGCUAGUUGGUGGGGUAAUGGCCCACCAAGGCGACGAUCAGUAGCUGGUCUGAGAGGAUGAUCAGCCACAUUGGGACUGAGACACGGCCCAAACUCCUACGGGAGGCAGCAGUGGGGAAUAUUGGACAAUGGGCGCAAGCCUGAUCCAGCCAUGCCGCGUGAGUGAUGAAGGCCUUAGGGUUGUAAAGCUCUUUCAGUGGGGACGAUAAUGACGGUACCCGCAGAAGAAGCCCCGGCUAACUUCGUGCUAGCAGCCGCGGUAAUAC
rnacentral:rRNA from 1 species